rnacentral:rRNA from 1 species
GACAGAGGGUGCAAACGUUGCUCGGAAUCACUGGGCGUAAAGGGCGUGUAGGCGGGAAGGAUAGUCAGAUGUGAAAGCCCUGGGCUCAACCCAGGAACUGCAUUUGAAACUCCCUUUCUUGAGUGUCGGAGAGGAAUGCGGAAUUCCUGGUGUAGAGGUGAAAUGCGUAGAUAUCUGGAGGAACACCGGUGGCGAAGGCGGCAUCCUGGACCGGCAUUGACGCUGAGGCGCGAAAGCCAGGGGAGCAAACGGG